ACGUACACUCCUGCGGGAGGCAGCAGUGGGGAAUUUUGGACAAUGGGCGAAAGCCUGAUCCAGCAAUGCCGCGUGCAGGAUGAAGGCCUUCGGGUUGUAAACUGCUUUUGUACGGAACGAAAAAGCUCCUUCUAAUACAGGGGGCCCAUGACGGUACCGUAAGAAUAAGCACCGGCUAACUACGUGCCAGCAGCCGCGGUAAUACGUAGGGUGCGAGCGUUAAUCGGAAUUACUGGGCGUAAAGCGUGCGCAGGCGGUUAUGUAAGACAGAUGUGAAAUCCCCGGGCUCAACCUGGGAACUGCAUUUGGGACUGCAUGGCUAGAGUACGGGAGAGGGGGAUGGAAUUCCGCGUGUAGCAGUGAAAUGCGUAGAUAUGCGGAGGAACACCGAUGGCGAAGGCAAUCCCCUGGACCUGUACUGACGCUCAUGCACGAAAGCGUGGGGAGCAAACAGGAUUAGAAACCCUGGUAGUCCC
rnacentral:rRNA from 1 species